GACGAACGCUGGCGGCGUGCCUAAUACAUGCAAGUUGAGCGCUGAAGGUUGGUACUUGUACCCACUGGAUGAGCAGCGAACGGGUGAGUAACGCGUGGGGAAUCUGCCUUUUAGCGGGGGACAACAUUUGGAAACGAAUGCUAAUACCGCAUAAAAACUUUAAACACAAGUUUUAAGUUUGAAAGAUGCAAUUGCAUCACUCAAAGAUGAUCCCGCGUUGUAUUAGCUAGUUGGUGAGGUAAAGGCUCACCAGGGCGAUGAUACAUAGCCGACCUGAGAGGGUGAUCGGACACAAUGGGACUGAGACACGGCCCAAAAUCCUAAGGGAGGCAGCAGUAGGGAAUCUUCGGCAAUGGACGAAAGUCUGACCGAGCAACGCCGCGUGAGUGAAGAAGGUUUUCGGAUCGUAAAACUCUGUUGGUAGAGAAGAAAGUUGGUGAGAGUGGAAAGCUCAUCAAGUGACGGUAACUACACAGAAAGGGACGGCUAACUACGUG
rnacentral:rRNA from 1 species